rnacentral:lncRNA from 1 species
UUUUCUCUACUGAUUAAGAGGUUGUUAAAACCUAUUUUAUUUAGUACAGGUGCUGCUAUGAGCUGAGGAAUGGCCAACUGCUUCUCAUGACUGUGAAAGAGCUACAUUGUACCAAUUCUGUGGUAUGACUCCAAAGCAUGGUUGAAUUGAAUUACCUGAACUUGUGUAAAUCCUAUAGUCAUUAGGCAUGGAAGCCUUCCUUCCAUUCCCUUACAACCAGGUGUGUUGUGCAGUGUUGUAGCUGAAGAUAAUCAGCUCUAAGAUGACAGAGGAAAGCAACAACUUUCAAGCUGAAAAAUGAAGUUAUCUCCUGUAAUGACUUGGGUUCAGGGAGUACUGAGCUUCCACUUCAAGCAGCCAGCUCUGGAAACAACUGGGAGACCAUUUCUUCAGAGAAAGAAGCACUCUUUUUAUAAACUAUUUCCCAUAUUUUUCAAAAACUCAUUUUCUCUUGUUAGUUUGCAUGUGGGAGGACAUCGCAAAUAUUGAUUCCAGCUGGGCUACUUCUACACCAGAUUCUGAGAUGCAUUGCAAAACUCAGUAGAUUGCAGAUCUGCCUAGUAAGUUCUUAUUUCAGUCAGCAAACAUUUAGUACACAGGCAGCAGAAUUUGAACUUCUCUAUAUUGAUUUUCUGUUUGUGAGCCACAUUCCUGAAAGUACAUAUUUUACCCAUGGAAAAUGUUAAUGUUCUUAUCAAUAAAGAGGGCUGUUGGUCAUUAUCUUCUUAUUUC